rnacentral:lncRNA from 1 species
AAAAUCUUUUCCAGUUUAAUUUGCUAUUAUUAUGAACUUCCGCUGGAUAGUGUCUCCGUGGAUGCGGCAGAAUUCCAUUUGCUGUGCUGCUAACACUCAUCAAGCUCAUUGUUGCGAUGUUCCGGACACUGUUACCUAUCGUGAUUGAUUCCUUUCUCAGUCCCAGCCUCGUGUUCACCAGAAUGAGCACACUGAUGCCUAAAGAGCAUGGUGGAGUAGAAGGGGCAUCCGCUUUGGAAUCAAACAGACCACAGACCUGGUUUUCAACCCCCCACUCUGCCACCUUGGGGAUCAGGUCUCACCCUGUCUCAGGAAGACGUCAGGGGUCAGCACAAGGCCAGACUCCGAGUUGAUGAGUCACUCUGGGAGAAGGCCAAUCGCAGGAUGAAGGUUGGCUCCAGGGGAUUGGUGAAAGGAAAUGGUACCUUUCCCUUGGAGGAAUGAGGUUGAAUCUGACCUCAGUCUGAUGGCAUGGAAAACCACCUGGCCUGUCUGGCAAGGGAUCCAGGAGGGGGAACAAGGGUCCCCAGAGAGGAAUACUCAAAGGUCAGGCUCUACCCGGGGCUCUUAGGAAAUCCUUGCUGCCAGGUCUCUGAAGAGCUCAGGUGAGGCAGGUGUCAGGAACAUUGACCCUUCUCAUUUUUCUUCCAUUUGUAGGUCUGGUUCCAUUAAAAGCAGGCAACGUGGUGGAAAAACGUAUUUUGGAGAAAGCAGUAGAGGGGUGAGGCCAACAAACUUUGGUUCUUCUCCAAGCCAGUACAUCUGCUAUGGCACCCGUGGAGAACCACUGAAAGGUGUGGUGAAAAGCUAGAGCCCACAUGCAUUACUGCUCCUUCUUUCCCACACGUCACCACCACCAUUACCUCUAUUACCACACCUCUCCACCGUCAUCACCGUCUCUGCCCCUACCCCCCAUCACCUCCACUAGCUUCCCUCCAAUGCCAUCACAUUAUUUGGCAAGUACCAUUCUAGGAGCUGUGUUUCCUUUUCAUUUAAUUUAUUUAACAUGAGCUGUUUUCUUUAAUAACGAGGAAACCAUUAGAGACGUCGGGCAACAUGACCAAGGUAUAUGUCUUGGAGUCACAGAGUUGGAAUUCUCACCCAAGCCUGUCUAAUACUAAGGCUGUGCUCUCGACCACUGUGACAGACCGAAGAUGCCCCUUAGGGCUGAAGGGUAGAGUCCAGAUGAACAAACCACAAAGCAAAGGCCGAUCCUACUCCAUCCCACCAACAGCCACUCCUCUCUGCUCACAUGGACGUUCAGUGACACCGUAGUACUCUUUAGAAUCAUGGUGAUUAUUAUCCUUCUUCUCCCUUGGGGCCAUGGCUCCCUUCCUCAUUUUCACCAGCAAGAGGCAGUUGCCACGUCCCUUCUAUUGUAAAUCAUCAUGGCCAUUCUUGCCUUCCUAGUGGGUCACUGUGACCUCUGCUUGAGGAUUUCAGGGAAAUACCAAUUUCUUUCACAAAAGCUCCCCAACAUCUAGCACAGCAGGAGACGUAAGCCAAAUCUUAACGUGUGACCGAACGAAGUGCAGGACCACCUGCUAGCCCCAUGUGCCCUAGGCUUAGGACACACAGCACUGGAAAGGCCACCCUUCCAAGAAUCCCAGGCAUGUGUUCCUUCACAAGAAGAUUAGAGGCCAGGGGAACACAGGUGAGUCAGUCAUGAGCUACAAAGAGUUAAUAUUGGAGCAGACCUGGCAAGGAGGUAAACAGUCUGUCGAAGGUUCCUGAGUCUUUUCUCUGCCUCUGCCAGCACCGGAGCAAUGGCUCAGCCAGGUAGCCGUCUCCUGUUGCUGGCUUGGAAAAUUUUCCAGGGGACUCUUCGAGCAUUAGCAUCUUGGAAUGAACCUGAUCCCAGUUAAAGAACCAAAUGUCAGAAAAGCUGAACAUAAAUCUUGCUUAGGGUAAGGAUUCCUUGACAGAUUUUUUUUUUUUUUUCACUAGGGUUACAAGAAAGAAAAGGCCAGCCUGAUUCUAUGAGCCAUGAUCAUAGUACUUCUCUUUCUGGAAAAAACUUGUGGUUGCAGAGGUUUUCUGUUAUUUGAGCUCCUGGAAACUGUCUAUGGCUGUGGGUCCUGCUCCCACAUCGGGGUGCUGGUUCCAUGGGACACUCCCUGCAGUAGACAGGCAGCGUUAGUCUAUUCUGUCAAAUGAGGUGCAGCUGUAUUCACUGCUUAUAGUGAAAUUCACAGGAAGUUAAACCACAAUCCGUGUUACAGAAUCCAUUCCAGGCAUUUGCAUUUUGCAAUAUUAAAGCAGGUAAAGUACAUCCUCGGGGUCUUCCACCCCCAGCUUCCAGAAGGCCAAUCUUAUACUACUUAUAACAACUGCAGCAGCUAACGUUUAGAGAGACCUUACUCUGCCCUGUUUUACAUCCAUAAUCUCACUAAUCCUCGUGACAAUCCUAUGAGAUACAUACUAUCCCCAUUUUAUAGAUGAAACUGACCCAGAAGGGUUCCAAAGCUUUUCUAAAUUCACACCGAACGUAUGUCAGAACAAAGAUGUGACCUUCAGGCUGUUGGAUUCCAGGGAUCCUGCUACUAACUUCUGGGUAAUGAUACCUCUGGGUAAAAUAAAAGACACUGAACCCCAGUGGGAUUGUUGCUU